GGUGAAGCUAGUGUCUGUCUGUGUGUGUUACCUCCGGGCACGCUGUACCAGGCCUCUCCGUAGGUGAAGCUAGUGUCCGUAGGUGAAGCUAGUGUCUGUCUGUGUGUUUUACCUCCGGGCACGCUGUACCAGGCCCCUCCAUUGGUGAAGCUAGUGUCCGUAGGUGAAGCUAGUGUCUGUCUGUGUGUUUUACCUCCGGGCACGCUGUACCAGGCCUCUCCCUAGGUGAAGCUAGUGUCUGUCUGUGUGUUUUACCUCCGGGCACGCUGUACCAGGCCCCUCCAUUGGUGAAGCUAGUGUCCGUAGGUGAAGCUAGUGUCUGUCUGUGUGUUUUACCUCCGGGCACGCUGUACCAGGCCCCUCCAUUGGUGAAGCUAGUGUC